rnacentral:rRNA from 1 species
CACGAACCGUACGAACGUUAUUCGGAAUUACUGGGCUUAAAGGGUUUGUAGGCGGCCACGUAAGUCAGGUGUGAAAUCCCUCGGCUCAACCGAGGAAUGGCGCUUGAUACUGCGUGGCUUGAGGGAGACAGGGGUAAGCGGAACUGAUGGUGGAGCGGUGAAAUGCGUUGAUAUCAUCAGGAACACCGGUGGCGAAAGCGGCUUACUGGGUCUCUUCUGACGCUGAGGAACGAAAGCUAGGGUAGCGAACGGG